rnacentral:rRNA from 1 species
CAGCAGCGCGAAACUUACAAUGCUUGGCACAGCGAUAAGGGGACCUCGAGUGCCAGGUUACAAAUCUGGCUGUCGUAAUGCCUAAAAAGCAUUGCAUAGCAAGGGCCGGGCAAGACCGGUGCCAGCCGCCGCGGUAACACCGGCGGCUCGAGUGGUAACCGUUAUUAUUGGGUCUAAAGGGUCUGUAGCCGGCCGGAUAAGUCUCUUGGGAAAUCUGGCAGCUUAACUGUCAGGCUUUCAGGAGAUACUGUCUGGCUCGAGGCCGGGAGAGGUGAGAGGUACUUCAGGGGUAGGGGUGAAAUCUUGUAAUCCUUGAAGGACCACCAGUGGCGAAGGCGUCUCACCAGAACGGACCUGACGGCAAGGGACGAAAGCUAGGGGCACGAACCGGAUUAGAUACCUGGGUAGUCCUAGCCGUAAACGAUACUCGCUAGGUGUCGGCCACGGUGCGACCGUUGUCGGUGCCGUAGGGAAGCCGUGAAGCGAGCCACCUGGGAAGUACGGCCGCAAGGCUGAAACUUAAAGGAAUUGGCGGGGACACCACAACGGGUGGAGCUUGGCGGUUUAUU